ensembl:lncRNA uncharacterized LOC107208039
UUUACAUUUGUAUUUUUACUUCUCAAGACAGUUAAAAUAUUUUAGUUAAUUUUUUUCUAGUUUACAUUUGUAUUUUUACUUCACAAGCCUAUUUGCUUUUUUAAUUUUUUUUUUUUUGCCUUCUCCACACAACACUCCCAGUUGUCAAACAGGAAAUCACAGUUUUGUUCCCACGAUAAGGAACUCAAAAAAGCAGGUAAGAAAAAAAAAAAUAAAAUAUACAGAAAUAAAAAUAUAGAAACGGAAAAGCUAAAAAUUAUUUCAGGAAGACCUUGAAACUCAGCUCAUUUCAAAUUGCAAAUUGAAAGCCAUAAAUGAUCCCCAUUUAUUUUUCCUGCUCUUCCUUGACCCUGAGUGGCAUCAGGGGGAAGUGGGGGCUGGAAGCUGGAUUCCAUUUGCUGUUUCCACUUGGCUGCCAAGACUCUUGCGUGGCGUCACAUUUUGGAGCUCGUGUAGUUUCACUUUUACUGCGUGAAUCACAUCCCCAGGGGAACUGGAAAAAUGCCCUCCCAUCACAUCAGCGCUCGGAUCCGCUGCCAAAAUGAGAACCAGAUCCCAUCUGCUGCCAAGGGAAAACCAGGGAGCACCUCCAGAGGCAGCAGCGUGAGGUCCCGGUGUCACCGCAUCUCUCCAUCCCUCACCUGGUGAAAUCUGUGCUCCCAGGAGGGUUUGGCACCUCGGGCCCUUGUGCUGAUAUUUGAGGUGGUUUUUGGAGCCUGCUGCCGGUUUCAUUUCGAGCUCCUGGGCCAGGAGCCAACUGAGAGCUCCCUGCCUGGGUUUCGUGAGGAAGCGCUAACUCGCCGCCCUGCAGCCAGCGCUGAUGAUGAAACCCCUCUGGCUCCUCCUCUUGGCCUUAUUAGCUGGGGAAAUCACCAGCAUAAAUGUCCAUGUCCAGCCGUGGAGCUCGGGAAUUCCGGCAGUGCCUUCCUCAGCCCUGGCGCUGUUUGCAUCCUCAUCCUCCCCUCCGGCUGCACCGAUGACCAUGGAAGAACCAACUGUGCUGGAGCACGGGGAUGCUCCACCCAGCAGGAGACCCCCGUGCUUGAGAGUGGCUUUCUAUGCUCUCAUAUUUGUGCUGGUUGUUAUUUCAUCCCUCUUUUCCGUAGUCUUCUGUUUGCUCCAGCACCAGCAGGCACUGGGGCCGUGCUGGGCACAUGGAUCUUUUCAACAGGUUGGUACAGAAGGAGAGCUGAGCUGGGACUGGAAAUUGGAGCACUGCACUGGGAUUGUGCAGGGUGAAGGGAAGUACCUCAUCAUCCAGCAGACUGGAAACUACUUCAUCUACGCCCAGCUCUACCGCAAGCAGAAGCUCAAGGAGCCUUUCACGCUGAUGCUUUACAAAAAUGAAAAAUACCCCCUCAACAAUGCUGUGGGACAUGAGAACGGCACGGUGAAUUUUGCCAGACCCUUUUUCCUGCAGGAGGGAGAUAAACUCUACACUAAGAAAAACAGCAAGCCUUACAACAUCCUGCUGAAGAAUCAGACUUACUGGGGCCUGUUUAAGAUGUAGCAGGACUCUGCUGGGAGCCAGCUCCUCCCUUGUUUCCUCCAGGAAACCUUAGGUCAUGGAUGAAGAAUCAGCAGCUUCUCUUUGGGUGGAUUUGGGUGAAUUUCUUCUUUGCUGGAAUGCGUGCCACAGUAAGCUUGUACCCUGCAGUGAACAGCAAACUUUAGUAGUGAUGGAUGGCUGCUGAUGGACACAGAGUGUGAGCAGAGGAUGGAGGGGGGAAAAAACAAUCUCCAUGCUUUGUGGGGUUGACUCUGAGAUCCUGGAAAAACAAGUCCCUAUAUUCGGUCUGCUCUGAGCUGGGGAGGAGCUCUACUCUGCAGCUGGCUGCAUUUCAGAACUGGAUACCUGCCAGUCCCUUCUAACACGAGGUGCUACGUAAAGACAAGCUGUUUUCUAUCCUUCCUGCACAACCUGCCAGCCAAGCAACACGCCCACAGCGGAGGGACCAACUGAGAAACGAUGAGAAAAGCUUCUCAGCCCCAUCCACAGCCUCACCACUAGCAGAGAAACACAACAGGGAUGCUCCAUCUUCACGGGCAGCUCAGGGCAUGAGGAGUUUCCCGGUGAAGUGCAAAUCCAAGGCAGCUCCGUGCCACGGUCCAGACACCCUGGGAUGCAGCCCAGGGGGAUGGAUCAGCCCUGGCUGAGCAGCACAAAGGCGAGGUUGCUGGGUGUAUUAGAGUUUGUGGAGGAGAGCUAAGGGUAGAAAGAUGCAUUUGAAGAGAGUGAACACAGCGUGGGGAUGAGAAGAUGGAGGUUUGGAGAGCUGUUCCCAGAAUUUUCUUCUCCUGUGCUGUGUAGUGGGUGCUGUGGGCAGGGCAGGGUCCUGCCAGGACAUGGGGAAGGGCUGGGCAUCCCUCCCUUUCCCACAGGCACAGCUCAGGGAGCCAGCAGGGAAGCAGGACACCCUCCACUGCUCACUUCAGGGUCUGCCUGCUGUGCUUCACCGAGCCAGGAGCACCUCAAAACCUCAGCAAGUGGUUUGUGCUGGGGUGGCUGUGGCUGCAGGACAGCCCAGCUGCCCCACAGCUGCUUCCUCCUCUCCCCUGCCUGGGCAGCCUCUCCCAGGGGCUCUGGUUCUUUACCUUCCUGCCUUUCACCUUUGUGGGGACUACUCCUACUGUUCCUCACAGCUUGUCACAGCCCUGGGCAUGGACUUUCAGGGGAGGCCAAAGCAACUGAGAAGUUGGAUGGAAAUAAAUGAUUACUUGGGGUGGACUGAGGCA